UCCUUCACAGGAUGGUACCUGGAGAGUUUCCAGUACUCGACCAUUCUCCGCUACAGGAGGGAGAGUCAAGCAGAGGCCUACCCAUUCCAUUUCUAGUUUGGGCAGUGGCUAGCGAGUGGAAGGCCAUCUGUUACAAUG